UGACGUGCCAGCCGAGACGGUUAGGGGCGACCAGUUGUUUUGGCGUCUGAGUGAGAUGGCUGCUUGAGAGGUCUAAUGUUUGAAACUCUCCAAACCGAGCUCAAACAGAACGGAAACUGUUGCGUGUGGAAACUGCCAGAAAUGAGGAAAUACCUCUCCAAAAUUGCUUAUUUGCAGAAUGCUUUACUCCUUCCCACAUAAAAGGGGCCACUGACAAAAAUAAAUAAAACAAGGCAAAAGGCCAAAAAUCAAAGGAGCAAGGGGACCAGACAGCAAUGAAAACAGAUGGCCCAGGUAAUCCAGCAUUUCAAAAUGCCUCUGUUACAGUCUCCUUAAAAUUCUGCAUCCAAAACAGUUUCAAGGCUGCUGGCUGAGAUGGUCCAGCCUUAUAAACUACUCCAGCCAAGACCUAACAAUUAUCCUGAUUUUCUCAAGUUUCCCUCAAAGAUACCAGCAGCCACAGACAACAGGAAGUAGCUAGAGAAUGACACCACAUUCCCAAGAGAUGGGGUAUGGGUAGGUUUUGGUUAUUCAAUGGAUUAUAAAUAUUAGUCAUUGUUUAGGGGGGUUGGUUACAAGUUGUUACUGGUCAUAGGAAAAAAGCUAAAAAAAGUCAAAUUCAAAGAUCUCUUUCUAAAGAAAAAAGGGGGAUAUGAUAUAGGGAUGAUAGGAAAAAGGGUAGAUUACUGAAUCUACUAUAAUCCAAAAAACUAUUAAUCUCAAAAUAUUUUACAUUGGUAUGGAUUUUGGUUUAUUGAUACAAAAUUUGAGUUAAUUUUGUUAUACUGUAUGCAUGUUUCUACUCUUGUUUGGGAUAUUGUAUUUCUACACCUCAUUUAAAAAUGUAGUGUAUAAUUAAGAAAUACAGAUUAAUAGGUAAGUCAUCUAUAAUAGUCAAACUUAUAUAUGUUAGGUAUGUUUUCAAUGUCAUACACAGAUAUGUUUAGAUAGAUGGUCUUUGAAGAAACUCCACAUGGAGCUUGCUUUCUUCAUGGCACAAGGUAGCCAUUUGGGCAAAGAAACUGCCCUUGCCUCAAUUGCCAACAGUUACUGUCCAAACUGGACCAGCAGGACACAAAAAAAGUGACUGCCAAACUUUGCCAAGACAAGGUAGGACAGUCCUUCAAAAUUCUCUGUUUCUCAAAAAUGUCUGUCAGGGGCGGUGGUGGCACAUGCCUUUAAUCCCAGCACUCGGGAGGCAGAGGCAGGUGGAUCUCUGUGAGUUCGAGGCCAGGCUGGGCUACAGAGUGAGUUUCAGGAAAGGCUCCAAAGCUGCACAGAGAAACCCUGUCUCAAAAAAACCAAAAACCAAACAAACAAACAAACAAAAAAAAAACAAAAAAAAAGUCUGUCAGAUAUAUAGGCCUGUAGGCCAAAGUUGGAUGCCCCAAUGUUACAAAAGAACUCUGGGUAACUGUCCAGGCAGCCAGAUGUUCCUGUCAUUAGAUAACAUUACACCCUCCUGGGGUCUUUGAUGGAGUUAAAGACUAAAUAAUUAGACUUAAAAUUUUCCUUAGUUAUAAGAAAAAGGUAACUUAGGUAUAAAACUUUAGACUCACAAAGAUAAGAUAAAUAGAAUAUUUUCUCUAAAUUUGCCAACUACAAAUGGACUAGAUAUUGUAACUAUAAUUCUUACUUGAUAACUGUUUUUGUUGUAUAUAAUUCUACUAUGUUAAAGUUAAAGCCUUCCUUUUUAAUUACACAAAAAGGGGAGAAAUGUAGAAUAUUCCUUCACACUGUGUGAAUAUGUGUCACCGUGAUUGGGCUAAUAAAGAAGAUGACUGGCCAAUAGCUGGACAGGUAGUGGUUAAGUGGGACUUGCAGACAAAAAGAGAGUGAGAAGAAGGGGAAGUGUAGUCCUUUAUUUAAAUGGGUGCUGCCUUUUAAGCCACAGAUGUCUGAAUCAGCAAUUGCAACUCGGUUGCUAACAGCAGCAGUUAGGCCGCAAGGGCCAUAGUGGAAUGAAAUGUUUCCUCAGGCUCCAACUCUUGCAAAGCUACGAAGGGAACUUAACUGAACCUCUCUCCCUCUAAAAAACUCAAGAUUCAAAGGUUAAGGUGGAAUUAAUUCUGCUCUUCAGAGGCUGAAUAGCAAGUAGCUCGCCUCCUCUCCUUGCUCGCGUCCUCCAAAAAGCCCUCCUGCUUCGCCUCGCCCCUCCUUAUAUAAACCCUUUCUCACCUGGCUCCUCCCUACCACUUCCUGUCAGCUGACACAGCCUCCUGACUGCAGGUGAAUUUUAUUUAAUCAAAUGCAUCUUUGCAUCAUUAAACAGACGUUUCAGAGUAUAAACGAAAGUACACACCUUAAAAUAAUACUCUACAACAGGGAGGAGUCAGAGGAUUGUAAGGAGAUGUGGACAGAAGAAAGUGAACUGGCCAUACUGAGAAAAGCUACUAAGCCAUGUGGCAGAGUGUAGGUAAGAAAUAUGGGUUAAUUUAAAAUGUAAGAGUUAGCUAGUAACAAGCCUGAGCUAUUGGCUGAGCAUUGAUAAUUAAUAAUAAGUUGCAGUGUGGUUACUUGGGAGCAGCUGGUGGGACACAGAAAAACUCCGCCCAUGCUCUGCAUUGUUUUCUAGGCUUCUAUUCGGAUAGCCCAUUAAGUCUUGCUUAGAACACUCAAUCACUUUUCUACCUCAGAGUCUCAAGGUCUUCCCACAUUCCUCAAAAUAAAUAAAUAAAGCCAAAAAAUCCCAGCGUUUUCAGGCCUAUCACAGCAA